AUUGAACGCUGGCGGCAGGCUUAACACAUGCAAGUCGAGCGAGUGGCGGACGGGUGAGUAAUGUCUGGGAAACUGCCCGAUGGAGGGGGAUAACUACUGGAAACGGUAGCUAAUACCGCAUACCAUCAGAUUUGCCCAGAUGGGAUUCGCUAGUAGGUGGGGUAACGGCUCACCUAGGCGACGAUCCCUAGCUGGUCUGAGAGGAUGACCAGCCACACUGGAACUGAGACACGGUCCAGACUCCUACGGGAGGCAGCAGUGGUGAAUAUUGCACAAUGGGCGCAAGCCCGAUGCAGCCAUGCCGCGUGUAUGAAGAAGGCCUUCGGGUUGUAAAGCACUUUCAGCGAGGAGGCGUUACUCGCAGAAGAAGCACCGGCUAACUCCGUGCCAGCAGCCGCGGUAAUAC
rnacentral:rRNA from 1 species